rnacentral:tRNA from 1 species
GGGCUCGUAGUUCAAUGGUAGAACAUUGCCUUUGCAAGGCAGAGGUUGAGGGUUCGAUUCCCUCCGAGUCCA